UCAUAUUUUACUUCGGUGAUUCAUCUUUUAAUUUUAUCAAUUAGAUGAUUGAACUAUUAAUUUUUUCAAUUCUAUUCAAUUAAGUUUGUAACAUUAAAAAUUAUUGACGUGACUAAUUACAUGGUGAGACAUAACUCAGCUGAGGUGUGUUGAAAAAUAAUUUUUUAUUUUGUGUUUAAAUAUUUUUGAUAUAUUAAAGGGUAAAACCAUCACUCUAUUCUUUAAAAUGAAACACUUUUGUGGAAUCUAUCUUUAAUAUCCAUAUCGGAAACCACCAAAUGGAAUCGAUCUCCAUCGAGAUGUCUCCCGCAAUCCACCAAUUAAAUCAUCGUCAACGGCGCCGCCUUAAUAGCCUGCUCUCAGUCCCCAGUUAUCCCAAAUACAAGUUCAAAAAUUAACCCACCUGAAUUCAGCAAAAACUCGUUAGACCCAAAUCAGAAGAAUUGCUAGCAGAGCAUGUGCCUUUCUGCGAAAUUUGUGGGAAAUGGUUUAAGCGCUCUGAAUGCAUAUGUGGGCACAUGGGAACCAGUUUAAUUUAAAACGCCGGAAGCGAUUGCCAAGUCAGAGAAAUUGGUCGAUCUGGGCUGGAAAAGGACACGGUUUUCGUGUCCGGUUAUGGGUUAAAUAGGAACAAAUCGGUUACUUGUACGGAUUAACAUCUUCUUCGACUACUUGUACAGAUUCAGAGGCGCCCAUUAGGGCUGGGUCAAUUUAGAUCCACCGAUCUGUUUUAUUGGAACCAAAUACGAAUGUAAUGAAAUAAAGGGAUUUGUAUGAAUUUGGGUUGGUGUAAAGACUAAAGCUUUUAAUUUUUUAGGGGGAUUGGUGGAACAUUUAGAAAAGAAACAGAGGAAGAAAGUUAAUUAGAUCUAUUUUGUCCGUGUUCUUUCUCUGAUUGUUAAUGUUAGUGUAUGGCUGGAGUACUUGUUAAUGAUUUUUUAUUUAUUUAUAUUUUUACCCUCUAAUAUAAU
rnacentral:lncRNA from 1 species